AUCACUUCUCGGCCUUUUGGCUAGGAUCAAGUGAAGAAUUAUGAUUAAUCCAAUUGUAUGAUUUAAAAAAAAUAAAUUCUUAUUUGUCUAUAUCAGAUUGUAUUGCAUUUAUUCCUGGGUUGGUAAAAAGUCU
ensembl:snRNA U2 U2 spliceosomal RNA